UGAGGAAUUUUCCGCAAUGGGGGAAACCCUGACGGAGCGACACCGCGUGGGUGAUGAAGUCUUUCGGGACGUAAAACCCUUUCGACAGGAACGAUAAUGACGGUACCUGUAAAAGAAGCACCGGCUAACUACGUGCCAGCAGCCGCGGUAAUACGUAGGGUGCAAGCGUUAUCCGGAAUUAUUGGGCGUAAAGCGUUCGUAGGCGGUAUUAUAAGUCAGUUGUAAAACGCCUCAGCUCAACUGAGGUUUGGGCAAUUGAUACUAUUUUGCUAGAGAGCAGUAGAGGAAAGCGGAACUUCCAGUGUAGCGGUGAAAUGCGUAGAUAUUGGAAGGAACACCAAUGGCGAAGGCAGCUUUCUGGACUGUUUCUGACGCUGAGGAACGAAAGCUAGGGGAGCAAACAGG
rnacentral:rRNA from 1 species